AGAGUUUGAUCCUGGCUCAGGACGAACGCUGGCGGCGUGCCUAACACAUGCAAGUCGAACGGAACUGUUUUGAAAGAUUUCUUCGGAAUGAAUUUGAUUUAGUUUAGUGGCGGACGGGUGAGUAACGCGUGAGUAACCUGCCUUCAAGAGGGGGAUAACAUUCUGAAAAGAAUGCUAAUACCGCAUGACAUAUCGGAACCACAUGGUUCUGAUAUCAAAGAUUUUAUCGCUUGAAGAUGGACUCGCGUCCGAUUAGUUAGUUGGUGAGGUAACGGCUCACCAAGACCGCGAUCGGUAGCCGGACUGAGAGGUUGAACGGCCACAUUGGGACUGAGACACGGCCCAGACUCCUACGGGAGGCAGCAGUGGGGGAUAUUGCGCAAUGGGGGCAACCCUGACGCAGCAACGCCGCGUGAAGGAUGAAGGUUUUCGGAUUGUAAACUUCUUUUAUUAAGGACGAAACUUGACGGUACUUAAUGAAUAAGCUCCGGCUAACUACGUGCCAGCAGCCGCGGUAAUACGUAGGGAGCAAGCGUUGUCCGGAUUUACUGGGUGUAAAGGGUGCGUAGGCGGCUUUGCAAGUCAGAUGUGAAAUCUAUGGGCUCAACCCAUAAACUGCAUUUGAAACUGUAGAGCUUGAGUGAAGUAGAGGCAGGCGGAAUUCCCCGUGUAGCGGUGAAAUGCGUAGAGAUGGGGAGGAACACCAGUGGCGAAGGCGGCCUGCUGGGCUUUAACUGACGCUGAGGCACGAAAGCGUGGGUAGCAAACAGGAUUAGAUACCCUGGUAGUCCACGCUGUAAACGAUGAUUACUAGGU
rnacentral:rRNA from 1 species